GUGGCAUCAUCUCAUUGCAUCUCGCCAUAACGGUGCACUUGCGUGAGGAGGAGAUCACAAAAGUAGUAUAAGAAGUAUGAGAGGGCAUAGAGAGAGGGUAUCCAGAAUCUGGUGAAAGUGUACGGGGGAGGGGAGAGACUCCAUUGUAAAACUCUCAAUUUUGUAUUCCUUUCAAUAUUAAUACAAGUAUAUGCCUAUUACAUUGUUUGAUCCCUAGUUUACUGCUCUAAUCG